rnacentral:rRNA from 1 species
GACGAACGCUGGCGGCGUGCUUAACACAUGCAAGUCGAACGGAAAGGCCCAGCUUGCUGGGUGCUCGUGUGGAGCACGGGUGUGUCACACGUGUGAGCUCCGCCUCUCACUUCGGGAUAAGCUUGGGACACUGGGUCUAAUAGCGGAUAGGCCAAUCGUUCAUCGUCGGUUGUGGAAAGUUUUUUCUGUUAGGGGUGCGCCCGCGGCCUCUCAGCUUGUUGGUGGGGGAUUGGCAUACCACAGCGUCGCCGGGGAGCCGGCCUGAGAGGGUGGACGGCCACAGUGGGACUGAGACACGGCCCAGACUCCUACGGGAGGGAGCAGUGGAGAAUAGUGCACAAUGCGCGCAAGCCUGAUGCAGCGACGCCGCGUGGGAGAUGGCGGCCUGCGGGGUGUAAACCUCUCUCGACAGGGAAGAAGCUUUGGUGACGGUACCUGUAGAAGAAGCACCGGCUAACUACGUG